rnacentral:misc_RNA from 1 species
AAGUCGUAACAAGGUUUCCGUAGGUGAACCUGCGGAAGGAUCAUUACCUAGUUUCUUGGGCCUUACCCGGCCCUCGAUUCUCACCCUUGAUUAUGUGCACCUUUUGUUGUUUCCUCGGCAGGUCUCCUGCCGGUAGGAACCCUACAAACCCCUUUGCAAUAGCAUCAGAACUUCUGAACAAUAUACCCAACUAUUUACAACUUUUAACAAUGGAUCUCUUGGUUCUGGC